rnacentral:sRNA from 1 species
AGCAGCCGCGGUAAUUCCAGCUCCAAUAGCGUAUAUUAAAGUUGUUGUGGUUAAAAAGCUCGUAGUUGAACCUUGGGCCUGGCUGGCCGGUCCGCCUCACCGCGUGUACUGGUCCGGCCGGGCCUUUCCCUCUGUGGAACCCCAUGCCCUUCACUGGGUGUGGCGGGGAAACAGGACUUUUACUGUGAAAAAAUUAGAGUGCUCCAGGCAGGCCUAUGCUCGAAUACAUUAGCAUGGAAUAAUAGAAUAGGACGUGUGGUUCUAUUUUGUUGGUUUCUAGGACCGCCGUAAUGAUUAAUAGGGACAGUCGGGGGCAUCAGUAUUCAAUUGUCAGAGGUGAAAUUCUUGGAUUUAUUGAAGACUAACUACUGCGAAAGCAUUUGCCAAGGAUGUUUUCAUUAAUCAGGAACGAAAGUUAGGGGAUCGAAGACGAUCAGAUACCGUCGUAGUCUUAACCAUAAACUAUGCCGACUAGGGAUCGGACGGUGUUAUUUUU